GAUGAACGCUGGCGGCGUGCCUAAUACAUGCAAGUCGAGCGAACGGACGAGAAGCUUGCUUCUCUGAUGUUAGCGGCGGACGGGUGAGUAACACGUGGAUAACCUACCUAUAAGACUGGGAUAACUUCGGGAAACCGGAGCUAAUACCGGAUAAUAUUUUGAACCGCAUGGUUCAAUAGUGAAAUACGGUCUUGCUGUCACUUAUAGAUGGAUCCGCGCUGCAUUAGCUAGUUGGUAAGGUAACGGCUUACCAAGGCAACGAUGCAUAGCCGACCUGAGAGGGUGAUCGGCCACACGGGAACUGAGACACGGUCCAGACUCCUACGGGAGGCAGCAGUAGGGAAUCUUCCGCAAUGGGCGAAAGCCUGACGGAGCAACGCCGCGUGAGUGAUGAAGGUCUUCGGAUCGUAAAACUCUGUUAUUAGGGAAGAACAUAUGUGUAAGUAACUGUGCACAUCUUGACGGUACCCAAUCAGAAAGCCACGGCUAACUACGUG
rnacentral:rRNA from 1 species